rnacentral:misc_RNA from 1 species
UUUCCGUAGGUGAACCUGCGGAAGGAUCAUUAUUGUAUAACCGAGGUGCGAGGGCUGUCGCUGACCCGAAAGGUCGUGCACUCCGAGUGCCCUCACACACAUCCAUCUCACCCCUAUGUGCACCACCGCGUGGGUCCCCCUUUGGCUUGUUCGGAGGGGGGCUUACGUUUUCACACAAACUUUGUAUGCAGUGUAGAAUGUAUUUUUUGUUUUUGCGAUCACGCAAUCAAUACAACUUUCAACAACGGAUCUCUUGGCUCUC